rnacentral:rRNA from 1 species
AUAGAACGCUGGCGGCAUGCUUUACACAUGCAAGUCGAACGGUAACAGGCCGCAAGGUGCUGACGAGUGGCGAACGGGUGAGUAAUGCAUCGGAACGUGCCCAGCCGUGGGGGAUAACUACUCGAAAGAGUAGCUAAUACCGCAUACGAUCUAUGGAUGAAAGCGGGGGACCGUAAGGCCUCGCGCGAUUGGAGCGGCCGAUGUCAGAUUAGGUAGUUGGUGGGGUAAAGGCUCACCAAGCCAACGAUCUGUAGCUGGUCUGAGAGGACGACCAGCCACACUGGGACUGAGACACGGCCCAGACUCCUACGGGAGGCAGCAGUGGGGAAUUUUGGACAAUGGGCGCAAGCCUGAUCCAGCAAUGCCGCGUGCAGGAAGAAGGCCUUCGGGUUGUAAACUGCUUUUGUACGGAACGAAACGGCUCUGGUUAAUACCCGGGGCUAAUGACGGUACCGUAAGAAUAAGCACCGGCUAACUACGUG